GAACGAGGGACCCAGUAAGUCACCUGCCCAAGGAUAUUCAUAGGUAAAGUAUGGAGCUGCAAUUACAACCAUGGAUUCACUUCCAGAGCCCAUAUCGAAACCAGACAACUUUAUUAUGACAACAGAUGUAGGCCACAAAUAUUAAUAAACAGAGACGUCUUUCAGCUUGUGCAACUAAAAGAAAAGAAGAAACCUGACCGGC
rnacentral:lncRNA from 1 species